ACUUUGUGGCCUGUCAUCGGAAUGGGUACAAUUUAAAUCCUUUAAUGAGGAUCAAUUAGAGGGCAAGUCUGGUGCCAGCAGCCGCGGUAAUUCCAGCUCUAAUAGCGUAUAUUAAAGUUGUUGUGGUUAAAACGCCCGUAGUUGAUUUUUCGACUCUGGCAGUCGGUUGCCCGAAAGGGUCUUACUUGGCUUGUCGAGUCUGAAUUUGAGUUUUCUGCUGCUGCUCUUAAUUGAGUGACAGUAGUGACUCAACGUUUUACUUUGAAAAAAUUAGAGUGCUUAACGCAAGCUGUACGCUUGAAUAGAGUGCAUGGGAUAAUGGAAAAGGACUUCAGUUCUAUUUUGUUGGUUCUCGGAAUUGAAGUAAUGAUUAAGAGGAACUGACGGGGGCAUUCGUAUUGUUGCGUUAGAGGUGAAAUUCUUGGAUCGCAGCAAGACGAACAACUGCGAAAGCAUUUGCCAAGAAUGUUUUCAUUAAUCAAGGACGAAAGUUAGAGGUUCGAAGGCGAUCAGAUACCGCCCUAGUUCUAACCGUAAACGAUGCCAACUGGCCAUUCGUCGGUGUUAAUUUAUGACCCGACGGGCAGCUUCCGGGAAACCAAAGUUUUUUGGUUCCGGGGGAAGUAUGGUUGCAAAGCUUAAACUUAAAGGAAUUGACGGAAGGGCACCACCAGGAGUGGAGCCUGCGGCUUAAUUUGACCCAACACGGGAAAUCUCACCCGGCCAAGACACAAUGAGGAUUGACAGAUUGAUAGCUCUUUCUCGAUUUUGUGGGUGGUGGUGCAUGGCCGUUCUUAGUUGGUGGAGUGAUUUGUCUGGUUAAUUCCGAUAACGAACGAGACUCUGGCCUAUUAAAUAGGAGCGAUAUUUUUGGUAUCGUGUCCUUCUUAGAGGGACUGGUAGCUUCUAGCUACACGAGAUUGAGCAAUAACAGGUCUGUGAUGCCCUUAGAUGUCCGGGGCUGCACGCGCGCUACAAUGAAGGUAGCACAGUGCAAAUUACCUUGUCCGAAAGGACUUGGCAAUCACGAAUUACUUUCGUGCUUGGGAUAGGGAAUUGCAAUUAUUUCCCUUGAACGAGGAAUUUCUAGUAAGUGUGAGUCAUAAGCUCAUGUUGAUUACGUCCCUGCCCUUUGUACACACCGCCCGUCGCUACUACUGACUGGAAGAUUCAGUGAAACUAUUGGACCGGGUCGAGAUUGGCUUCGCGGCCGAGCUCUGAUCUAGAAAGAUAGUUAAACUGUAUGUUCUGAAAGAAGUAAAAGUC
rnacentral:rRNA from 1 species